rnacentral:rRNA from 1 species
GAUGAACGCUGGCGGCGUGCCUAAUACAUGCAAGUCGAGCGAACAGAUAAGGAGCUUGCUCCUUUGACGUUAGCGGCGGACGGGUGAGUAACACGUGGGUAACCUACCUAUAAGACUGGGAUAACUUCGGGAAACCGGAGCUAAUACCGGAUAACAUUUGGAACCGCAUGGUUCUAAAGUGAAAGAUGGUUUUGCUAUCACUUAUAGAUGGACCCGCGCCGUAUUAGCUAGUUGGUAAGGUAACGGCUUACCAAGGCAACGAUACGUAGCCGACCUGAGAGGGUGAGCGGCCACACUGGAACUGAGACCCGGUCCAGCCGCCUACGGGCGGCAGCAGGAGGGAUGCUUGCGCAAUGGGCGAAAGCCGGACGGAGCAACGCCGCGUGAGUGAUGAAGGGUUUAGGCUCGUAAAACUCUGUUAGUAGGGAAGAACAAACGUGUAAGUAACUGUGCACGUCGUGACGGUACCUAAUCAGAAAGCCACGGCUAACUACGUG